AUUGAACACUGGCGGCAUGCCUUACACAUGCAAGUCGAACGGUAACGGGCCUUCGGGUGCCGACGAGUGGCGAACGGGUGAGUAAUACAUCGGAACGUGCCCGAUCGUGGGGGAUAACGAGGCGAAAGCUUUGCUAAUACCGCAUACGAUCUACGGAUGAAAGCAGGGGACCGCAAGGCCUUGCGCGGACGGAGCGGCCGAUGGCAGAGUAGGUAGUUGGUGGGAUAAAAGCUUACCAAGCCGACGAUCUGUAGCUGGUCUGAGAGGAUGAUCAGCCACACUGGGACUGAGACACGGCCCAGACUCCUACGGGAGGCAGCAGUGGGGAAUUUUGGACAAUGGGCGCAAGCCUGAUCCAGCCAUGCCGCGUGCAGGAUGAAGGCCUUCGGGUUGUAAACUGCUUUUGUACGGAACGAAAAGCCUUCUUUUAAUACAGGAGGGUCAUGACGGUACCGUAAGAAUAAGCACCGGCUAACUACGUG
rnacentral:rRNA from 1 species